ACAGCCUCAAGUUUCUUUCACUUUCUAUUUCAGUACGUCUUAAAUAUUGAAGAAAUAGGUUUUCCUGUAUAUUAAGAGGAUUAGUUUGGAAAUUGUCUGUGAAUAUAAUUUUCCUUUUAGUUAAGAUAUUCUUCUGAAAAAUUUAAGUGGUUUAUUACAUAUGCUGGACAGUAGAUGCUCAUCCAUAAUCAUAAUAUGGUUUGAAAUUAUGUUACUCCAAUGAUUCAUCUAUAUGCAUACGUAUCAUGAUUUCUUAAUUUAUUUCUCAAGAAUAAUUUUAGUCCCACAACAUGACUUCUCAGGCAUGGGAACAUAUCCAAAGACCUUCUGGGUCUAUGUACCAGCUGGAAGGCAGACAGAUAUUUAAUACACUCUUUUAAUCAGUAACAUUGAAAAUAAUUUAAUUUGUAGAAAGAAGCAACUAUGUUUCAAAGUGAUAUCUAACUAAGGGUCAUAGUGACAAAUCAGAUGAAGAUUCAACAGAAGAAUGCACUGGAGAAACGUACAGAAACAGGCUGUUUAAGGACAGCACGUGGAGAGAAAGGGUAUGUGCAAUUUUACUUCGACAGUUUUAUAGACAGGUUGCAGAGAGAACCAGCUAGACCCUGGUGAAGAGAAGUGAGAAAGAGAAUGAACAUGAGCCAAAAGAUUGGAACAUACUAACACAUUUAAUAAGAUGUUGUACAGAGCAAUUCAGUCAGAAGCCCAAAUAGCUAGAUUAAAUGAUUCAAUUUGGACGAUUAGAUUAUAUGGAGGCUACAACCUUCUAGACAUAGGUCUAUGGAUAGUUAGAACAGAGAAAGAAAUGCUGUGUGCUCACUCCAUGCCCUGUGUUUGUACAGGAUGAGUAGGGCUCUAUUCUAAUCCCUUCAUCUGAGGAAAUAAAAGUGAUAUUUACAUUUUCUACUAUUGUCAAUGUACUUUUUGUCUUUGUGCAACUUGUGGGCGUUGAUAAUUUAGAGGUAGGGUUUUACUGGUGUUCAUGAGUAGGAGAAUGAGGGGAAGGUUUAGUAGUCACCAGAGACUUGUGAGUACACCAGGUAAAAUAUAUAUUUUUGAUGGGGUAUCUCUGCUGUGUUUGUGCAGGAUAGUGUCACCUAUGUGAUUGCUUUCUUCCCUAUAAUCUGUGUUGCAUAAAUAAAAUUGGUGUAAUACACAUGCUUCUUACACUUGUAAGUCGUAUCACAACUAUAUAUUUUUACCUGCUUUGCCUUGAAGCAGCUGGUGGAAGAAGUGAAUGAGGAAGAGACAGACGUAUGUAUAUAUGAGUUGGGAUUGAGGGGGCUAUACUUCUGAAGGAGAAUUGUAUGCUGUUGCUAUCGUAAUGAGUUUAUCUUAAACAUCUGGUGUAAGGAAAGGAUAUACGGUUUACAGCAGAACAGGGAUACACAUUUAUAAAAAUGUAGAAAUGAGUACUGUUCUGGGGAACAUAUUGAGGUAGAAGUUAUCCUACUAAGAGGAGGCUAUAGUUGACAAUUUUUGGAGUAUACUAUCAGCCCUCAAACUACUACCAUUUCAAGCCUUUAUUAUCCUACUGUUCUUCAGCCAAGGAAAGCUUUUUAAAUCUAUGGGAUUUGACUCAAUGUAAUGUUUUCCUUCAUAUGACAUUUACUUAGUACUUUACAUCUCUUCACAAUUUUUAAUUCUCUUUUAUUUAGUUUAUUCUAUAUGAGUUAGUCUUUCUAUUUAUAUCUGUAGUUUCCUAUAUUGUCCAGAUUUGGUCACAUUUCUGAAUAGGGGUCUUGUGGUUAAGUGUAGUCACAUGGUUUAAACUGCCACAUAGGCAUAGGAAUAUGUGAGGUGGGCAUGCUCGAAUCUUAGGAAUCUCAGAAAUCUUAGAUGAUCAGAAUGGAGCUACCCCUUCCCUGCUCUCCAUGCCUACUCUAUGAUGCAUAACCAUGAUCCUCAACUGAGAACAACAUGGGAAGGCAAUCAUAAAAUGCAGCACCUAUAAUACCUCUCCAUGCUAAUGAAAUAUUUCAAUAGUCUUAGCCUUCAGCCAGUAAUUUUCCCUUCAUGUAUAUUUCUCACACUCAUCUCCAAAAUUAUAUAAUCUUAGGUUCACCAAAAACAAAGUGUGUUGAUUUUUAAGUACUCCCCAGUAAAGAAAUAUCGAUAAGCUAAGAUCAUUGCAGAGAGCUUUGUUAGAGGUUGCUACAGGGAAGGCCUUUGCUUAAAAGAGCCAUGGCAUUAUGAUUCCCAAAGAAGGGCUUCUCUCGACUGUCUACAACCUCUCCACCUCUUGGCAUAAAUUCCCAACUGGACUGGAUCCUACUCAUCUCUGGCCCCAUUCUACCCUUCAUGUUUCCUGUGCAGCAGUACUCUCAUGCAAUAAAGGAAAACACAGACCAUGGACCCGGUUAAUGUGUGGCCCCUGGACACCUGAAGAGAAGCUUUGGGAAAUAUAGCAUUUGUCCAGAACUUCCUUCUCCUUCCAUUCUGGUGUAUAGUAGGUUAUAACGCCACAAAAGUGAAAAGCUCUUUGACUCAGAUUUGGCCCUGCUGGUGUAUUGGUGGUGUCCAUACACCCGUGUAGGGAGUCAGAACCCAGAUCCCACAGCUAAGGGACAUGUGGGCUCUCUUUCUAUAUUGGACUCCAUAUUCAUUUUUAUAUGAUGGAAUUUAUGACCAAAAUUCGGUUCAUUGUGUGUCUAGAUCAGCUAUGCAAUAACCCCUGAAGUAAAAUAUAACUCUUUUGAAUGCCAAAGUAGUCUUGGAACAGUCAUAUGUUUGAUUUUUUAUUCAUAUGCCAAUGGCAAUAUCAAUCUCUGUUUUGGAAGCUAUUUUAUUACCUCUCUAUAGUGAAAUGUUUUCAAUUAUUGGAGACUUGCUAUUUUGUAUGUAUGUAUAAAAAUUUGUAUUAAUUCUUUAACUCAUUUUUAAUAAAAUUCAUUUUUAAUGAUCAGGAAUGAAAAAAGAACAAACACAUUAACUUUGCAAGACCGUUAUGCUGAUACUAAAAUUCACACCUCAGCUUGUUCGUGAUUCAUAUCUGCCUUCUUACCUAGAAGGACUGGCAGAUGAUUUAAAACAUGAAGAGGAGAUAUGUUUAUUUUUUAAUCUACAAUCUGGGAAAAAUAAAGCUGCUAAUAAGACUUACUUAGUAUAACAUUUAUAAAUAAGUGUAAAUAUGCUCAAACUAGAGGGGAAGUUUUAACAUUAGUGCAUAUUAGUGAAUUCACAAUAGUUUUUGAACACUGACCUCAGCAACUUUCAUUAAAAAACUAUGCAUACAUUAGGGUUUUCUAGAUGAUCAAAUCUGUCAUAAUGUAUAUAAUAAUCAGAUUCACUUAUGUGACCUCUCCAUAUCAUUUAACCAUAAUUUUAUAGAACCUGUUUUUUUUAAUAAGCAAUAUUACCAGUCUUCCACUGAUAUAUAUCUAAAGCCCUCUCCUGCUCUAAGCCAUGGAGACACCAUCCAAAAUACUUCCAUAAGCAAUAGGCUCGGAUUUAAUAUUUAAUUACUCAUUACUUUGAUUUUAACCCAUAGUGUCCCAUAUAUCUUUUGUCUUUAGAAAUGGUUGUGGAAACACUCACUGCUAUAUUGGCAUCCUACAAAAAACAAUCCAGACUCCAACAAAUGUGAAUUUCUUCACUGUAUUUAUAUACUAAAAUAGUCAAUCAGCAUUUAAAAAAACUGUAUAUAUAACUCCUCUGCCUUGCCUUGUUGUAAUUUUUAACUCACUUGUUUUUGCAAAUGUUCUAUCCAAGAUUUCUUAUGGCCUUAUAUUGCAACAGCUAUGCUAGCUAAAUCAACAGGACAGUAUUUCCUACCUGUAUUCUAAAUGUUCUUGCUCUA
ensembl:lncRNA